UGUUCCGGUUGUCAUGCCAAUGGCACUGCCGGGUAGCUAUGUACGGACGGGAUAACCGCUGAAAGCAUCUAAGCGGGAAGCCCCUCCCAAGAUUAGAUCUCCCUGGGCUCUUGAAGCCCCUGAAGGUCCGUCGAAGACUACGACGUUGAUAGGCUGGGUGUGGAAGUGCAGCAAUGCAUGGAGCUAACCAGUACUAAUUGACCGUGCGGCUUGACCAU
rnacentral:rRNA from 1 species